rnacentral:lncRNA from 1 species
GGAUUAGUGAGUUUUUUCAUAAGACAAAAUUCAAAAAGAUUAAUGGAUCUUUACUGAAAUGAAAUUCAAAUACGAGUAUUUGUCAGUUGCAUAAUAUGCACUGCUAUUUUAAUGUUCCACAAAAUUUUCCAUUUUUACAGGCCAUUACUGAGUCUUAUAAUUUAUUUAGACCUGUUCUGUUGUGUAGAGUGUCACAUUUGUUUUCAUUAGUAAGUAUAAACACACUAGUUAAAAGUGAAAUUGCUUAUACCUGUACUGAUAAGUGCCACCAGUAGAGGGCGGCAGUGAGGCACUAGAAAGAAGAACCAACUUUACUGUCAGAAAUUGCAGAAAACCGUCAAGAUGGGGGUUGAUGUGAAUGACGGCAAACAUUUGUUGGUGUUGGCAUCCUCAUUAACACCCAGACUGGCUUAUUUUAUGGGCCAGAAGCUUUGACAUAAACAUUGUCACAGAAUUUUCAGAUAAUCUGAUAAUGUACUUAUAAAGCAAAUUUUGUGGAAAUUUCUGGUAAGACUGAUGAGAAUCAACAUUAAGAGAUAUUCUAAAAAUUUUACAUUAUUUCAAAGAGACAAGAGUAUGAAUUAAAAUUAAGCAUGCUGUUCUUGUCACUUCAAGAGUGUAGGCAGAGAAUUUAAUACUUUAGAGAUGACAAAAGGCAUCUUACCUUCUUUGAACACUACAGAUAUCCCUGAAAUAAAAAGAAAUAUUUCCAACUUAUCAACAGUAAGCAAUGCACAGGAUUAAUCAACAAGAUAGGUUACCCAGAUUUAGCUUGCAUCUGCUUUUAUAAACAUUUAACAACAACAAAUAUUUUUUGAGCACCUACUAUGUGCUAGGAGUUAUUCAAGGUACUGAGGUUAUAGAAGGGAACAAAACAAACUCAUUUCCUGCCUUCUUGGAGUUUAAAUUAUAGUGAGGAAGACAGAUAUUAAACAAAGCUGCAUAAUUAAUUCAUUAGUUACAA